rnacentral:tRNA from 1 species
ACUUAAGUAGUUUAUUUAAAAUGUUGAUUUGUGGUGUCAGUGAUAUAAUUUUUAUCUUAAGUU